AUGGAUCUGGGCCCAAGCGCCCCGAGCAGCCGCUUGCGCCCGAGGCUCUCCCGCUCGAUCCCACUGGAUCAGGAGAGCGCCACCCCGCCGCCAUCCGUACGCCGCCGCGCCUCCUGCGGUUUCUUCACUCCGGCGAGCCCCAUCGCCAACGAGCUCCUGCUCAGCCUCGCAGGACCACCCCCAGGAACCACCACCGCCCGUGGAGCUCGCCCCCGACCGCGUUCUUCACCCGAUCCAAUGGGGAUCUGCCGGAUCUGGAGUACCUCGGCCUAUUCCCGUCCUUCCCGGUCAGAUCCGUCGCCGGAUCUCCACCACUGCCGCUGGAAACGGACGGAUCAGGCGGAUCCCGUCCGGAUCCGCACCUCCGGGGCCUCCUUCGCUCCUCCCCGACGUCAAGCCGACGCCGCCUUGCCAUGGAUCCUGCUCGUGCGGGAGCACGAGGAGGAUGUUGACCAGGCCUCCGUCGCCCUGGUGGGCCCUACAGCCACGUGUGGACUCCUGCGCCUUGGGCCUCCUUCGGUUGCCAAGGUCCAGCCCAGCUCCAGGCUGCCUGCCUCCUGCGCGCCUGGGCCCCAUCUUGCGCAAGGCCCAGCGCCCCUUUCUAGCCUCCCUCCUUUGCCUCACCGGGCCUUAGCCCAUAGUGAGCCUCCUGAGAGCUCCUCAGCCCUGUGCACUGUUGGGCCAUUACAAGAUCCAGCAUAG
rnacentral:rRNA from 1 species